UCUGUCUGUCGAGUGUGUCAAGAAAACCUCUAGGGUACUUCCCAUUAACCUAGAAUGAUGAAAUUUGGCAGUUAGGUAGGUUUUAUAGCACAAGUAAAGGAAAAUCCGAAAACCGUGAAUUUGUGGUUACAUCACA